ACUAACGCUGGCGGCGUGCCUAAUACAUGCAAGUAGAACGCUGAAGAGAGGAGCUUGCUCUUCUUGGAUGAGUUGCGAACGGGUGAGUAACGCGUAGGUAACCUGCCUUGUAGCGGGGGAUAACUAUUGGAAACGAUAGCUAAUACCGCAUAACAAUGGAUGACCCAUGUCAUUUAUUUGAAAGGGGCAAAUGCUCCACUACAAGAUGGACCUGCGUUGUAUUAGCUAGUAGGUGAGGUAACGGCUCACCUAGGCGACGAUACAUAGCCGACCUGAGAGGGUGAUCGGCCACACUGGGACUGAGACACGGCCCAGACUCCUACGGGAGGCAGCAGUAGGGAAUCUUCGGCAAUGGGGGCAACCCUGACCGAGCAACGCCGCGUGAGUGAAGAAGGUUUUCGGAUCGUAAAGCUCUGUUGUAAGUCAAGAACGAGUGUGAGAGUGGAAAGUUCACACUGUGACGGUAGCUUACCAGAAAGGGACGGCUAACUACGUGCCAGCAGCCGCGGUAAUACGUAGGUCCCGAGCGUUGUCCGGAUUUAUUGGGCGUAAAGCGAGCGCAGGCGGUUUGAUAAGUCUGAAGUUAAAGGCUGUGGCUCAACCAUAGUUCGCUUUGGAAACUGUCAAACUUGAGUGCAGAAGGGGAGAGUGGAAUUCCAUGUGUAGCGGUGAAAUGCGUAGAUAUAUGGAGGAACACCGGUGGCGAAAGCGGCUCUAUGGUCUGUAACUGACGCUGAGGCUCGAAAGCGUGGGGAGCGAACAGGAUUAGAUACCCUGGUAGUCCACGCCGUAAACGAUGAGUGCUAGGUGUUGGAUCCUUUCCGGGAUUCAGUGCCGCAGCUAACGCAUUAAGCACUCCGCCUGGGGAGUACGACCGCAAGGUUGAAACUCAAAGGAAUUGACGGGGGCCCGCACAAGCGGUGGAGCAUGUGGUUUAAUUCGAAGCAACGCGAAGAACCUUACCAGGUCUUGACAUCCCGAUGCUAUUUCUAGAGAUAGAAAGUUACUUCGGUACAUCGGUGACAGGUGGUGCAUGGUUGUCGUCAGCUCGUGUCGUGAGAUGUUGGGUUAAGUCCCGCAACGAGCGCAACCCCUAUUGUUAGUUGCCAUCAUUCAGUUGGGCACUCUAGCGAGACUGCCGGUAAUAAACCGGAGGAAGGUGGGGAUGACGUCAAAUCAUCAUGCCCCUUAUGACCUGGGCUACACACGUGCUACAAUGGUUGGUACAACGAGUUGCGAGUCGGUGACGGCAAGCUAAUCUCUUAAAGCCAAUCUCAGUUCGGAUUGUAGGCUGCAACUCGCCUACAUGAAGUCGGAAUCGCUAGUAAUCGCGGAUCAGCACGCCGCGGUGAAUACGUUCCCGGGCCU
rnacentral:rRNA from 1 species